rnacentral:lncRNA from 1 species
GCUGCACCAGCAGCAUAUGGAAGUUCUAGGCCAGGGAGGGAUCGAAUCAGAGCUGUAGCUGGUGGCCUACACCAUAGCCACAGCUAUACCAGAUCCAAGAUGCAUCUGCAACCUAUGGCCACAGUUUAUGGAAAUGCCAGAUCCUUAACCCACUGAAGAAGGCCAGGGAUGGAACCCACAUCCGCUUGGAUACUAUGUCAAGUUUUUAGCCCGUUGAGACACAAUGGAAACUCCAAAAGAGAAUCAUUUUAAAGCUCUUUGGAGGCUUACAGGUCAUCUAGUUCAACUUCAUUUUACACAGGAAGGAACUGGGGGCAAGGAUGGCCAUAUUGAAGUAAAAUGCUUUUCCUCACAAAGGUAGUUAAUGGCAAAGGCAACGCCAGAUGCCAGCCAGGACUCCUGAGCCUGGGAUGGCUGUGUCCGGGACUACUCCCAUCACUGGGACUCAAAUGUCAAAGGACACCCUACACCACAGAAAGAGGUCCCACUAGUGUCCCUCUGGAGUUGGCCCAUACAUUUUCUUCUCUGCGCUACCAUACUCUUUCUCAGUGCUCAUCAAAGAGCCACGAGACCCUAAGAGCUCAUAAAAGGCUUUAGAAGACAAAACCACCUGCUACUAUCUGAAAUUUUGGAAGAAAAAGGAAUAUGAUUAGAUCUAGGUCACCACGACUGAAAACAGAGGAGGCAUUUUUUUCAUCACACAGAUGUAUAGAUAUACCUACAAAGCAAGGGGUUGGGGUUUUGUUUUGCUUUCCUAGGAUGAUACAUCUCUACACACUGCACACUUUCUGACAAGUCAAAUAAAUGAAACUGUCACAGGCCAGAAGCCUCAAAAAAGAAGACAGUAUUGAACAACUUAUCAAGCAAACACCACCUUUCAAUUUUUAUUUUUUCUUAAAAAAAAAAAAAACAGGACUCACACAAGUAUACUUUUAUUUUUAAUGAGAAAAGAGACAAAAUGUUGACUUUGUUGGUGAAUACUGAACAGAUGGAACCAUAAGCAUGGAGGGGAGAGGAGUGAGAGACAAAUAUGGUUGUCAUGGUUUCACUGAGAUGCAGUAAACAAAGGGACCCAAAUGGACAAUGAAAGCCCCCGCUGGGGGAAAAAACCCACAUGUCGCUUGUUUCUUUCUUAGGUAAUUGCCAAGCUCGCUUGGAAGGUCUGGAGUCCAUGAGAGAUGAGAAAACAGCAAUGCUGUCACUCAACCCGGCUAUCCUCAAAUCAUAUUUACCCUGGACCCAGCCUACCCUCCUAUAUAACAGACAGCCACGAUUAAUGACUACCUCAGAUUAAUCAGUUAGCCCAGUCGGCAGCGUCCUGCAGAAACCUGUGCCACAUGUAAUCAUGAGGGAAGCUGGUAUGGCAUGACACCCAGUUCUCUGUUUAACUGGGAAGCAGCAAGCACGUAUGAACAACACCUUGAAAGAUUUGUACAUCCUGCUGACACAUCAAGGUCCCGGGCUUAGGUUCACUCUUCAGUUAUCUCCAAAUUAACUUAAAUGCACCUCAACUGUAUUUCAGGUAACUGUGAAUCAUGGAUAGCUUGAUAUUCCUGCAUUGCCCAGUUAUGGCCCCAUACCUUGUUUAUGGGAGUGUCGGAAAAGGAAAAGAAUGGAGAUAGAGAGGGAUCUCUUCCAAACAACUUUUUUGAGGGUCAAAUUCAAGUCCUGCACAAUGAAGCUUGUAUCUAUCAUGGCAAACAGGCAAACGUCGGAACAUUCAAAAGUUUGGCUGAACUCACAUGUUUUGUCUGGAGGUUCUGAUCUGGUUGACACGAGGUCUUUUCCAAGGUCAUCGCAUAAGGCUGCCGGCGCUGAGGUCAGGCUGUUUAAACCCGGAGUUCUAUAGCAGCCCCCCUCCCACGCCUGCCAAAAUAGAUUCUUUCUAGUCCACACAAGACUAGGGGUUGUUUUCUCCUUGUUUUCCAUGACCUUCAUGAAUGACCUUCCAGACCUCCAAAGGCUUGGACAACUUGAGCAGGGUCUUGUGUAGAGGUGAGGAAUGUGGCUGUGUUUAGGAGACACUGAUUCUGGGGUGAUGGUGGUGAGACUGUGGGCACUCAAGCUAGCUGCAGACAGAGGGAGGGAGGGAGGUUUGCCUUGGCUCAGUUACAUGUCUUCAGAAGCCAAAAAGAGCAAUUUUCAGGUUGUUGCAAUUUCUCUCUCUCGUGAGUCUGGCCCUAAGGCCUGUAGCCUGCAACAUCUCAUUUCCUGUUUGGGGAUUUCCUGAAAUCGAAACUGAGAUGUUGGCCUCUGUAAAGAAACCUGUAGAAAGGCUUUUCCUCUGGAACUAUGACUGUGUGAGUCAGCUUCAGUGCACACUUGGCCUCGCCAACUGGAUGCUCUUUCCACACCUCCUCUGAAAGUGCAUGUACGGCCUCUUCUUCAUUGCCCAUACCCUCUGUUCCUGGUCAACAUUCCCCCCUACUUUCUGAAAAUAUGAAAGCCUCUUAUUAUAAAGUUUAUUUGGAGGUGUUGCUUUUCCAAAAGACAGGUGCAGACUAUGAAUUCUGGGGAGCCAUAUUAUCCCCUAUCAUUGUAAAACUAAAGGAAAUUUUGGAUAAGCAUCAAUUUUUUAAAAAUCACAGCCUUGAUGAAUGUAGAUCUGGGACUUGUACAGGGAGGGUGGUUACAUAAUAAGUAGAGCACAGGAAAUACCAGCAUCCGCUAUUUUCUUUGACCCUUAAAGCUGGUUUUCCAUAACCAUGACCAUGGUUUACCAUAGGGUCACUUCCAAGAUCCAAACAUUAUUUUUUCCUGAGUUUUUGUUGUUAACUCGAAUAUAUCACCAUCACAGUCCUUUGUGAGCUUUGCUCUGCCAGGUCUCAAAACAGAGAAGAGAGGAGUUCCCAUCAUGGCUCAGCAGUUAAAGAACCUGACUAGUAUCCAUGAGGACACGGGUUCAAUCCCUGGCAUUGCUCAGUGGGUUAAAGAUUGAGCAUUUCCAUGAGCUGUGGUGUAGGCCGGCAGUUAAAGCUCCGAUUCAACCCCUCGCCUAGGAACCUACAUAUGCCAUGGGUGCGGCCCUAAAAAAGAUACACACACAU